rnacentral:rRNA from 1 species
GAUGAACGCUAGCUACAGGCUUAACACAUGCAAGUCGCAGGGUAACAUGAGGAAAGCUUGCUUUCCUUGAUGACGACUGGCGCACGGGUGAGUAACGCGUAUCCAACCUUCCCAUAACUACGGGAUAACCCGUUGAAAGACGGCCUAAUACCGUAUGAUAUCGUUUGAUGACAUCAAAUAACGAUUAAAGGUUUAGCGGUUAUGGAUGGGGAUGCGUCUGAUUAGCUUGUUGGCGGGGUAACGGCCCACCAAGGCGACGAUCAGUAGGGGUUCUGAGAGGAAGGUCCCCCACAUUGGAACUGAGACACGGUCCAAACUCCUACGGGAGGCAGCAGUGAGGAAUAUUGGUCAAUGGGCGAGAGCCUGAACCAGCCAAGUAGCGUGCAGGACGACGGCCCUAUGGGUUGUAAACUGCUUUUAUGUGGGGAUAAAGUGCGUGACGUGUCAUGCAUUGCAGGUACCACAUGAAUAAGGACCGGCUAAUUCCGUG